rnacentral:rRNA from 1 species
AUUGAACGCUGGCGGCAGGCCUAACACAUGCAAGUCGAACGAGGGGCGGACGGGUGUGGACUUUCUGGGAAACUGCCUGAUGGAGGGGGAUAACUACUGGAAACGGUAGCUAAUACCGCAUACCAUCGGAUGUGCCCAGAUGGGAUUAGAUAGUAGGUGGGGUAAAGGCUAACCUAGGCGACGAUCCCUCGCCUGUCUGAGAGGGUGGCCAGCAACAGUGGAACUGAGACACGGUCCAGACUCCUACGGGAGGCAGCAGUGGGGAAUAUUGACCAAUGGGCGCAAGCCUGAUGCAGCCAUGCCGCGUGUAUGAAGAAGGCCUUCGGGUUGUAAAGUACUUUCAGCGGGGAGGCGUUACCCGCAGAAGAAGCACCGGCUAACUCAGUGCCAGCAGCCGCGGUAAUAC